AACAAGGCGUACCUGCGGACCUGCGGAAGGAUCAUUAUCGAGUUUUGACUGGGUUGUAGCUGGCCUUACGAGGCAUGUGCACGCCCUGUUAAUCCACUCUACACCUGUGCACUUACUGUGGGUUUCAGAUCGUGAAUUGGGCCUACGGGCUCGUGAAACGCAUCUGUGCCUGCGUUUAUUACAAACACUAUAAAGUAUCAGAAUGUGUGGGUUGCGAUGUAACGCAUCUAUAUACAACUU
rnacentral:misc_RNA from 1 species